CAGUCGCCGCGGUAAUACGUAGGGUGCAAGCGUUAAUCGGAAUUACUGGGCGUAAAGCGUGCGCAGGCGGUUAUAUAAGACAGAUGUGAAAUCCCCGGGCUCAACCUGGGAACUGCAUUUGUGACUGUAUAGCUAGAGUACGGCAGAGGGGGAUGGAAUUCCGCGUGUAGCAGUGAAAUGCGUAGAUAUGCGGAGGAACACCGAUGGCGAAGGCAAUCCCCUGGGCCUGUACUGACGCUCAUGCACAAAAGCGUGGGGAGCAAACAGGAUUAGAUACCCCAGUAGUCCCUGUCUCUUAUAC
rnacentral:rRNA from 1 species